GGAGAGAUGGCUGAGUGGACGAUAGCCCCGGUCUUGAAAACCGGUAUAGUUGUUAUUAACUAUCGAGGGUUCGAAUCCCUCUCUCUCCU
rnacentral:tRNA from 1 species